GUUUUGCUGAAGAGUCCCAAACUAGGACGAAACAGCUGUCCAGUAC
rnacentral:hammerhead_ribozyme from 1 species